rnacentral:ncRNA from 1 species
UAAUAACAAAAACAGUGAUGAGAACAUUUAUAGUAAAUACAUAUUGGUGGCGCUUCUUACAACUCGAAAGGUCGUAGGGAAAGCAGUCCUGUGUGUAUAUAAUAAAUGAAAAUAUAGUAAAAGGUCUGUC